GUUCCCGUCGUUCAAUGGAUAGGACGUAGGCCUCCGGAGCUUAAAAUGUGGGUUCGAUUCCCGCCGGGAGCACCA
rnacentral:tRNA from 1 species